rnacentral:rRNA from 1 species
AUACGGAGGAUGCAAGCGUUAUCCGGAUUUAUUGGGUUUAAAGGGUGCGUAGGCUGUUCGGAAAGUCAGGGGUGAAAGCCCGGCGCCUAACGCCGGAACUGCCUUUGAUACUUCCGAGCUGGAAUACGGAUGCCGUGGGAGGAAUGAGUAGUGUAGCGGUGAAAUGCAUAGAUAUUACUCAGAACACCGAUUGCGAAGGCAUCUCACGAAUCCGUCAUUGACGCCGAGGCACGAAAGCGUGGGGAUCAAACAGGAUUAGAUACCCUGGUAGUCCACGCAGUAAACGAUGAUGACUAACCGUCGGCGAUACACAGUCGGUGGCCAAGCGAAAGCGAUAAGUCAUCCACCUGGGGAGUACGUUCGCAAGAAUGAAACUCAAAUGAAUUGGCGGGG